UCAAAUUAUUAAGCGCACAUGGCGGAUGCCUUGGCAUCAGAAGCCGAUGAAGGACGUAGUAGGCUGCGAUAAGCCUCGGGGAGCUGUCAAACGAGCUUUGAUCCGAGGAUUUCCGAAUGGGGAAACCCAGCCAGAGUAAUGUCUGGUUAUUUCUGCCUGAAUAUAUAGGGCAGAUAAAGGGAACGUGGGGAAGUGAAACAUCUCAGUACCCACAGGAAGAGAAAACAAAAGUGAUUCCGUUAGUAGUGGCGAGCGAACGCGGAAGAGGCUAAACCGAUCAUGUGUGAUAGCCGGCGGGCGUUGCAUGAUCGGGGUUGUGGGACUUUCCAGCUGUUCUGCCGGACAGCAGCAGUAGAAAGCAAUAUAGUCGAAUGGUCUUGAAAGGCCAGUCAUAGAGGGUGCCAACCCCGUAGACGAAAUGUUGUGGACGCUGGGAGAGUAUCCCAAGUAGUGCGGAACCCGUGAAAUUCUGCACGAAUCUGUCGGGACCACCCGAUAAGCCUAAAUACUACCUAUUGACCGAUAGCGGACAAGUACCGUGAGGGAAAGGUGAAAAGUACCCCGGGAGGGGAGUGAAAUAGUACCUGAAACCGUGUGCUUACAAUCCGUCGGAGCCAGCUUGUUCUGGUGACGGCGUGCCUUUUGAAGAAUGAGCCUGAGAGUUAGUGAUAUGUGGCGAGGUUAACCCGAGUGGGGAAGCCGUAGCGAAAGCGAGUCUGAACAGGGCGUUCAGUCGCAUGUCCUAGACCCGAAGCGAAGUGAUCUAUCCAUGGCCAGGUUGAAGCGGCGGUAAGACGCCGUGGAGGACCGAACCCACUUCAGUUGAAAAUGGAGGGGAUGAGCUGUGGGUAGGGGUGAAAGGCCAAUCAAACUUCGUGAUAGCUGGUUCUCUCCGAAAUGCAUUUAGGUGCAGCGUCACGUGUUUCUUACCGGAGGUAGAGCUACUGGAUGGUCGAGGGGGCCUACAAGCUUACCAACAUCAGCCAAACUCCGAAUGCCGGUAAGUGAGAGCGUGGCAGUGAGACUGUGGGGGAUAAGCUUCAUAGUCGAGAGGGAAACAACCCAGAAUAGCAACUAAGGUCCCAAAGCCUGUGCUAAGUGGAAAAGGAUGUGGAGUCGCAUAGACAACCAGGAGGUUGGCUUAGAAGCAGCCACCCUUAAAAGAGUGCGUAAUAGCUCACUGGUCAAGUGAUUCCGCGCCGACAAUGUAGCGGGGCUCAAGCACACCGCCGAAGCCGUGUCAUUCAUACAAUAUCCAAGCCUUCGUGGUUCAGGAGUAUGGAUGGGUAGGGGAGCGUCGUGUGGCGAGCGAAGCGGCGGGGUAACCCAGCCGUGGACGCCACACGAGUGAGAAUUCAGGCAUGAGUAGCGAAAGCCGGGUGAGAAACCCGGCCUCCGAAAGAACAAGGGUUCCAGGGCCAGGUUAAUCCGCCCUGGGUAAGUCGGGACCUAAGGCGAGGCCGACAGGCGUAGUCGAUGGACAACGGGUUGAUAUUCCCGUACCGGCGAAGAACCGCCCAAACUAAUCCAGUAAUGCUAAGUUGCUGAAGCUUUUUACUGAUGCCUUCGGGCUGAAGUGGAAAGUGGAGCCAACGACCCUAUGCUGGUGCGGUUAACGUAUUAACAGGUGUGACGCAGGAAGGUAGCCUCCGCGGGGCGAUGGUUGUCCCCGUUUAAGGAUGUAGGGCGAGAGAUAGGCAAAUCCGUCUCUCACAUAGCCUGAGAUCUGAUGAUGAGUCCGUAAGGACGAAGUGGGUGAUCCUAUGCUGCCAAGAAAAGCAUCGACGUGAGGUUCUAGCUGCCCGUACCCCAAACCGACUCAGGUGGUCAGGUAGAGAAUACUAAGGAGAUCGAGAGAAUCGUGGUUAAGGAACUCGGCAAAAUGCCCCCGUAACUUCGGGAGAAGGGGGGCCUGAGGUGUGUAGAGAUUUACUCUCGAAGCACUGUAUGGCCGCAGAGACCAGUGAGAAGCGACUGUUUACUAAAAACACAGGUCCGUGCGAAGUUGCAAAACGAUGUAUACGGACUGACGCCUGCCCGGUGCUGGAAGGUUAAGGGGACUGGUUAGCCGCAAGGCGAAGCUGAGAACUUAAGCCCCAGUAAACGGCGGUGGUAACUAUAACCAUCCUAAGGUAGCGAAAUUCCUUGUCGGGUAAGUUCCGACCUGCACGAAUGGCGUAACGACUUCAGCGCUGUCUCAACCGUGGACUCGGCGAAAUUGCACUACGAGUAAAGAUGCUCGUUACGCGCGGAAAGACGGAAAGACCCCGGGACCUUUACUAUAGUUUGGUAUUGGUGUUCGAUUCGAUUUAUGUAGGAUAGGUGGGAGACUUUGAAGCCAAGACGCCAGUUUUGGUGGAGUCAAUCUUGAAAUACCACUUUGAUCGUGUUGAAUGUCUAACCUAGGUCCGUAAUCCGGAUCAGGGACAGUGCCUGAUGGGUAGUUUAACUGGGGCGGUUGCCUCCCAAAAAGUAACG
rnacentral:rRNA from 1 species